AUCAAUAAAUAAUAAGAAGUAGUAGGUCGUCUUUAUUUUAUAGAGAGCUCAUGUUAGGUGGAAAUGAGUAAAUAAGUUCGAUUGAACUCAUCUUAAUUUUGCUUAAGCCAAGCUCAUUUGAGUGUGUAACUUAAGACGCUAGCAGCGUUAUUGCUUUGAGGAAGCUAUUUGCUUUAAAAACUAGGUGGUACCGCGCUAUAGCGCCCUAUAA
rnacentral:ncRNA from 1 species